AUUGAACGCUGGCGGCAUGCCUUACACAUGCAAGUCGAACGGCAGCACGGGAGCAAUCCUGGUGGCGAGUGGCGAACGGGUGAGUAAUACAUCGGAACGUGCCCAGUAGUGGGGAUAACCGGCGAAGACCGGACUAAUACCGCAUACGACCUACGGGUGAAAGCAGGGGAGUCGCAAGACCUUGCGCUAUUGGAGCGGCCGAUGUCAGAUUAGCUUGUUGGNGGGGUAAAAGGACCUACCAAGGCAACGAUCUGUAGCUGUCUGAGAGGACGACCAGCCACACUGGGACUGAGACACGGCCCAGACUCCUACGGGAGGCAGCAGUGGGGAAUUUGGACAAUGGGCGCAAGCCUGAUCCAGCCAUGCCGCGUGC
rnacentral:rRNA from 1 species